rnacentral:rRNA from 1 species
UGAGGAUAACCUGGGGAAACUCAGGCUAAUACUGAAUACGCCCCUUGGGGUAAAGGUUGCGCAAGCAUCCGCUUUUAGAUGAGCCUGCGUUAGAUUAGCUAGUUGGUGGGGUAAAGGCCUACCAAGGCGACGAUCUAUAGCUGUUCUGAGAGGAAGAUCAGCCACACUGGGACUGAGACACGGCCCAGACUCCUACGGGAGGCAGCAGUGGGGAAUCUUGGACAAUGGGGGCAACCCUGAUCCAGCGAUGCCGCGUGUGUGAAGGGGGCCUUAGGGUUGUAAAAAAACUUUAAUGAGGGAGGAGUAGGCAAG